GUAUCUGCCACCACUGGCCUCGUUAUAAUAAACAUUGAUACGCUCAAGCUGAAGUUCAGAGUCGCCGCUGUACUUUCCAAUGUUGUCAAUGCCAUGCUCGUCGCAAAUCACCUCCCAGAACUUAGCUCCGAUCUGGUUACCGCAUUGGCCACCUUGGAUGUGGAGGAUUUCUCUCAUUUCUACCUGGAAAUCGAGUUUUCUUCUUGUUCUUGAAUUGGGUUUUCUCUAGUUUUUCUUGGGAAACAGAGGGAAAGUGCGGAAAAGGAGAAAUUUAUGGGGUUGGAGUAGAAAAUACGGAAGAAGGGGGAAUGAGUGGUAUAUAAAAAGGUGGGAUUUUUUGGGGUAUCAAACUGUAAAAUUAAAAAAUUUUGAUGGAGUGAGUUGUAAAAAAGGGUUGAGGCUUUCACUGGACCAAAAUUGUCUAAAGUUAGUCCCAACAAUUUUUUAUUGUUUUGUGGAUGGGGAUUUUGUGAUUGCAAGGAAUUGAGUUAUUUUUAGGGUUUGCAAUUUGC
rnacentral:misc_RNA from 1 species